AGCAGUCGCCGCGGUAAUACGAAGGGUGCAAGCGUUAAUCGGAAUUACUGGGCGUAAAGCGCGCGUAGGUGGUUUGGUAAGAUGGAUGUGAAAUCCCCGGGCUCAACCUGGGAACUGCAUCCAUAACUGCCUGACUAGAGUACGGUAGAGGGUGGUGGAAUUUCCUGUGUAGCGGUGAAAUGCGUGGAUAUAGGAAGGAACACCAGUGGCGAAGGCGACCACCUGGACUGAUACUGACACUGAGGUGCGAAAGCGUGGGGAGCAAACAGGAUUAGAGACCCCGGUAGUCCCUGUCUCUUAUAA
rnacentral:rRNA from 1 species